rnacentral:misc_RNA from 1 species
UUGGAGCAGCUCAGUCAUGCACGUACCCUUCUAGGGACCGCCUUGCCUGUAGUGGGCACGGUUUGGUGCACAACAAACGUGGAGCCACAGGGAUUUUGCGGUGAUGGGACUACCAGACACACUAUUGGGCUUUGAGACAACAGGCCCGUGCCCCUUUUUGGGGGGUGGCAUCCGGUUGCGGGUGUCGGCGUGUUGUUGCCUCACUUUGGUGGUGGGGUGUGGUGUUUGAUUUGUGAAUAGUGGUUGCCAGCCUCAGGAGGUGGGGUGUGGUGUUUGAUUUGUGAAUUGGCUUGCCACCCUUAGGAGGUGCCGUGUGGUGUUGAAUUUGUUGCCUGUAGUUUGCACCGUUUGGUGUAAAACAAACGUGGAGCCACAAGGGAUUUUGAGUUGACCCGACUACCAGACACGCUAUUGGGCUUUCACACGGGCUGUCCGUGCCCCUUUUUUCCGGGACACAUCCCGUUGCAGGUAUACACCUGUUGUUGCCUCACUUUUGUGGUGUGGUGCGGUGUUUGAUACUGCGACUAGGUCCUUUCUCACUUUGCCGGGGCUCUCAUCGUCAAUUACUGCGCUGGUGACGGACCCAAAUAUCAAAGCGACUUAUCAAGAUACUGCGGNGAAAAGGAGCCAAUCAUGAAUCACCGUCAUUAGACUUCUGNACAUCCUG